AAAUCCUAAUAUAACCUUCAACAAAUCAUAAUGAAAUCCGAAAUAAAUUCCAACCAAAUCUUAAUGAAAUCUUAAAUCAUAAAUAAAUUCUAAUCAAAUCUCAAAUAAAUCUUAAUCAAAACUUAGAUAUAUUUUAAUUAAAUCCUAAACAAAUUCUAAAUCUUAAAUUAAAUCUUGAUCAAAUCUUAAAUUCUAAUCCUAAAUAAAAUCUCAAUGAAACCCUAAAUCUUAAUUAAAUCUUAUCAAA
rnacentral:lncRNA from 1 species